UACGUAGGAGGCGAGCGUUGUCCGGAAUUACUGGGCGUAAAGGGCGCGCAGACGGCCUUAGAAGUCAGGCGUGAAAGCCCCCGGCUCAACCGGGGAAGUGGCGCCGAUACGACCACCCUGGAGGGACGUAGGGGGACCUGGAACUUCCGGUGGAGCGGUGAAAUGCGUUGAGAUCGGAAGGAACGCCCGUGGCGAAAGCGAGGUCCUGGACGUUUUCUGACGCUGAGACGCGAAAGCCAGGGGAGCGAACGGG
rnacentral:rRNA from 1 species